ensembl:lncRNA novel transcript
AGAAAAAGGAAAAAGGCAGAUAUACAUGCCACAGUACAGUGCUGAGACAACAUAAAUCACAAGCAACCAAGUACAAAGUGAAUUAUACAGAAUCUGGUUUUCUUCUGUUUGGAUUUGAUACUGAGCUAUACUGGAUUCACUGACAAGAAGAGUUUGAAUUAGCAGCAUGCUGAGAAUGGACACAGUGUUUGAAGAGACUGAUAAAGAAAGUACAGGAGGAGUUUUAUUUUUGGAAGAAGAAAUGGUCCUUGGGCACAGACCCCAUAUGAGUUUUCCUUUCAGCGUUCUCUGCUCAGCUGUUCUCUGCUGUGGUGAGGCGCCUAUGCUUUGUAUAUGUCUGAAAUUAAUUGAAAAGCUAGUGACAGAUUCUGAUGUCAUUUGCCAUGAGCUUUAUUGUUGUGCAGGUAAUUUUGGAUCAAAUCACCCUAACGUUUUUCAACAAAGACUUUAGAAGAAAUAAAGCUGCAUUACUUUUUCUUGGCGCAUUCUUCCUUUAGGACCUAUAGUGAGGACCCACCCAACAGUGGCCUCAGCUUGGGGACAUCUGGAGUCGCAUCCACCAUGAGGACGAAGCCUCCUUCUCUUCUGGACCUGCCCAGGAGUGGCCGUUGCUACAAGACCUCUGUUGCUACGUCCAGGGUGAGAAUAAAGACUUCUCCUCAGGACUCUCCCAGGAGAAGACAUGGCAUUGAGACAUCUGGUGGCCAGGGAGACAUGAGACAUCAAUCAAACGCAUGAAGAUGUACAUUGGUUUGGUCCAGAAAGGACGCACAACUUGAAAAUAGCCAUGGUGCAGGUCUGGGCUUUCAAGUUACAGGAAACUUUGGAAAAUAGUGGAAAGUGACCAAUUCAAGUCUAUUUCAUGGGAUGAGAAUGGAACUUGCAUAGUGAUUAAUGAAGAACUCUUCAAGAAAGAAAUUUUGGAAACAAAGGCUCCUUACAGAAUAUUUCAAACUGAUGCUAUCAAAAGUUUUGUUCGACAGCUCAACCUUUAUGGAUUUAGUAAAAUUCAACAGAAUUUUCAAAGAUCUGCCUUUCUAGCCACCUUUCUGUCAGAAGAGAAAGAAUCGUCUGUCUUAAGCAAGGUAUUUGACAUAUUUGAGUUACCACUUUAUGUAAAGUAUAUAUGUAAUUUUACUUUGUACAUCAGUAAAUAUGUUAAUACAUGCAGUAAGACCAGCUUUUGAAAAUUAUAUAAAAUAUUAAGGUAGAAAUUUUGUUUUGAAAUUAUUGUGUUCAGCUUGAGCGUUAACCUUUUAGUGUUUUAAGAAAUUUUGCUAACAACUUUGAAUCUUACCAGUGAAUUCCAAAUAAAUGUACCAAAGCCACUUAAUGAAAUAUUACUAUUAAUAUAUAACAUGUUUUCACUUGAGGGCUUAACAACUUGAGUGGUUUUUCACAAUAAGCACAUUCUUAAAAAUAGUAAACGAUGUUUAUGAGUUAUUUGAUGACAUUAAAUUUGUGUGAUGAAAGAGAAAUCUGA